GAUGAACGCUGGCGGCGUGCCUAAUACAUGCAAGUCGAGCGAACAGACGAGGAGCUUGCUCCUCUGACGUUAGCGGCGGACGGGUGAGUAACACGUGGAUAACCUACCUAUAAGACUGGGAUAACUUCGGGAAACCGGAGCUAAUACCGGAUAAUAUAUUGAACCGCAUGGUUCAAUAGUGAAAGACGGUUUUGCUGUCACUUAUAGAUGGAUCCGCGCCGCAUUAGCUAGUUGGUAAGGUAACGGCUUACCAAGGCAACGAUGCGUAGCCGACCUGAGAGGGUGAUCGGCCACACUGGAACUGAGACACGGUCCAGACUCCUACGGGAGGCAGCAGUAGGGAAUCUUCCGCAAAGGGCGAAAGCUUGACGGAGAAACGCCGCGUGAGUGAUGAAGGUCUUCGGAUCGUAAAACUCUGUUAUUAGGGAAGAACAAAUGUGUAAGUAACUAUGCACGUCUUGACGGUACCUAAUCAGAAAGCCACGGCUAACUACGUG
rnacentral:rRNA from 1 species